rnacentral:rRNA from 1 species
AUGCAUCACGACGAGCGGCAGAGCUUCAUAUCUGCAACGGGGACAAGAGAAAAGCUACGACAGAUGAGGGAAAAAGCUACAACCAGUGUUUUUUUCUUGUCACCGAUGUGUGGUUUUCUUUCACUGGGACGUACGACCUAUGGUGGCGGACGGCGGCGCCGGCAACACGGUGAUGGCUCGAGGUUGCAACCAUUGUCAUUGUUGCUACUACGGUGCACACGAAUUGAUACAUCCGUUGUCUGUUUUGGCUACUACCAUGAAUGCACAGUCAACAGAUUUUUUUCUUACGUUCGACGGCAGCGAAUCGUCGGGGCGAGAUUCGACGGCGAGCAUUGGGGCCAGUGCGGCGACCCGUGGCGACGGGCCAGGGCCGGUCCUGAUAUUUCAGGGGCCCGUGGCGAAAUUACAACCCGGGGCCUCUACUAUAUAAAGAUAAAAGUAAUAAUCUCGUUUCUUUUUAGAUUCAUUCCUUUACCUAACUUAUUAUUGUCUAUUGUUCCAAAAUAA